rnacentral:rRNA from 1 species
AGUGAACGUUGGCGGCGUGGAUUAGGCAUGCAAGUCGAGCGAGAACCGUAGCAAUACGGGGACAGCGGCGAAAGGGACAGUAAUGUGUAGGUACCUACCUCCGGGUUCGGGAUAGCUGCGGGAAACUGCAGGUAAUACCGAAUAACGUCUCCGGACCCAAGGUGUGAUUCCACCUGGAGAGGGGCCUGCAUCCUAUUAGCUUGUUGGCGGGGUAACGGCCCACCAAGGCGACGAUGGGUAGCGGGUGUGAGAGCACGACCCGCGUCAUUGGGACUGAGACACUGCCCAGACACCUACAGGUGGCUGCAGUCGUGAAUCUUCGGCAAUGGGCGCAAGCCUGACCGAGCGACGCCGCGUGCGGGAUGAAGGCCUUCGGGUUGUAAACCGCUGUCGUAGAGGAGGAAAUGCAGGGGGGUUCUCCCCUCUGUUUGACCUAUUCUAGGAGGAAGUACGGGCUAAGUUCGUGCCAGCCGCCGCGGUAA